GUAUUUUUAAGACUAGUCUCUUUCCUGCCUUCCUCUGCUAACAUUCCUAAAUAGGAAAGUGCCAUGUAGGAGAAGGCCAGGAUGUAAGGGGCAUCUGAAUUAGGCAUCUGUGUAUACAUUCUGCCUCCAAAACAAUUCCCGACUUCUUUUUUAGAAGCAGGACUCUGAGACAAGGACUUUAAGUGCAAUAACUUAUUUGGGAAGUGUUCCUAGGAAAUACUCCUGGAGGAAUGAGAAAGUGAUCCAGGGAAGAUAAGGCAGCCAGUAUAUAAUGUGCAUUCAAAUAAUUCAACAUGCGAAUGGGCAACUGAAGUUUAUUCCCUCUGGGAAGCUCCAGGAGGCAGCGCGGAAUAUACACCUCAAGUCACUCCGGCACAGCGGCAAGAGACCCGGGACGUAGUACGCCAGCUCCUGACAGUGAGUGGGUGAGGACAGUAGGGCUCAGUGAGGACAAACAACAUGAUUAUGGCAACCUGUGGACAGAAAGAACUGCGCUUUAGAGACCUAACUACUCAUGGCUCUUGGCCCUACAGCAGGGUGUUGUCUCUUCAAAUAUUUGACUAUAUCCAAAUCUUGUUGGCACCUUCAUGUACUAGACUCUUCUUCUGGGACAGAGGAACCCAUGAUUUGCCUUCAUCAAAGGUAACAAAAUAGUAACUAUGAGUCAGGGGAGAAUAGAAUGAAAAGAAUACCUCAAGGAGAAUAUUCCAGCUUCUCAUCUGCUGUCAGUAUUGGCUCCUGAAUAAGCUCAAGGGAAAUUUCUGUCUGUUCUGCACACCCUCCCACAGUCACAGAACAUUCUAACGGACACUUAUUUUAUGAAAAUUGUUUGUUGCUCUGCAUCUCUUAUAAUUACCUUAUGUAUUUAAGCAAUUAGCAAUCAGAACUCACAUCUUAUUGGUACCCAAG
rnacentral:lncRNA from 1 species